CCUACGGGAGGCAGCAGUAAGGAAUAUUGGUCAAUGGAGGCAACUCUGAACCAGCCAUGCCGCGUGCAGGAAGACUGCCCUAUGGGUUGUAAACUGCUUUUAUACGGGAAUAAACCUUGAUUCGUGAAUCGAGCUGAAUGUACCGUAAGAAUAAGGAUCGGCUAACUCCGUGCCAGCAGCCGCGGUAAUACGGAGGAUCCAAGCGUUAUCCGGAUUUAUUGGGUUUAAAGGGAGCGUAGGCGGCCUAUUAAGUCAGGGGUGAAAGACGGUGGCUCAACCAUCGCAGUGCCUUUGAUACUGGUAGGCUUGAAUGUAGUUGAGGUAGGCGGAAUGUGACAAGUAGCGGUGAAAUGCAUAGAUAUGUCACAGAACACCGAUUGCGAAGGCAGCUUACUAAGCUAUGAUUGACGCUGAGGCUCGAAAGCGUGGGGAUCAAACAGGAUUAGAUACCCUGGUAGUCCACGCCCUAAACGAUGAUAACUCGAUGUUGGCGAUAUACAGUCAGCGUCCAAGCGAAAGCGUUAAAGUUAUCAACCUGGGGAGUUACGCCGCAAGGGUUGAAACGUUCAAGGAAUUGACGGCUUGAGACGNGCGAGCGACGACGAGGAGGAGG
rnacentral:rRNA from 1 species